rnacentral:tRNA from 1 species
CCCCUGGUGGCUAAGACGGUAAAGCGUCUGCCUGUAGGGCAGGAGACCCAGGUUUGAUUGCUGGAUUGGGAA